UUAAGAGGGAUGUUUCAUUGUUAUAAUGGAAAGGGGAUAGAGAAUUAAAGAGCUCUGCUUACUGUCAUGAUGGAUUAUAUGCACGCAGCAGAAGAGGAAAGAAGUACCGCUGACAGGAAGACCUAGGGUCUUUUUUAGCCAGAGGUCUCUAUAGACAUGCCAUCAAUAGUAAUGGCAACCGCAGUGUAUCAUCGUGACGAUGUGCUUAAUCAGGGCUCAGGUGUUGAGGAUGUAGACUUGGGAGAGCCCCUUGUUGGUGUGCUUAAGGCAUCCUGGUUUCAGUCAGGUCAGGUCCCCUCACCUAAUACUGGCCUGAGGCCCAAGACCAAGAUACAAGGACUGAGGCUGGUAAGUGAUUUGAAGCAGUGCCUGAUAUUCAUGCAAGAAGCUAGAAAUGUCAGUUGCUGCUUGAGGUAAACAUUUGUUUUCCAGAGUAAAUGUUACAGCUUCUGCUUCUCAUAACAGUGUCAUUCAAGCAUGUGUCUAAAGGACAGCAAGACAUCAUGGAAAUAGCUUUCAUUCUUAAUCCAUAUUUGUGUUAAACUAUAGAAUCAUUUAAUCCACCAGCUCAUUGUGAUCAUCAAAACAGAGAAGCUGCAAAAUAUUUCCUUCAUUAUAAAAAUAAAACCAAGUGCUGCUCUCUGCUUCAGAUUCCUUUUGAAUACUAAUGCAUAAAAGCCAAGAUUAAAUUAAUCUCAGCUGUCUCAGUCACACUUGGCUAAUGAAUCAUAAAAUAGUUUCAUCUUCGUAUGACAAGUUGCCCUUGAUGGCAAAUUAAAAUCUUAAUAAGGGUUUUUAAAAUACGCAUGCAUAUAUACAUGCACAAUCUCUUUCAUUAGAGCCCAAUGUCAAAAUACAAAUUCUUGCUUUGCAUUUCAGAUAUUGUAAACUUUUGAGAACAUCUUCUAGAUCUUUUUAUCUGGUGGCUUCAAAUUCUGUGUAUGCAAAUGCCUUUAACUUAACCUUCGAAAUAAUUGUUUUGGAAAUCUUGAUAGAGUUAUUGGAUAGUGGUUUGUUUUUAAAAAUUAUAUGUAUGUCAUUUGUUAACUACUUACUUAAAUAAUGCAAAAAUUAAUGGUAUAAUUUUCUACCUCCCAUGCUUCCUCAAGAACGGUGGCUUCUUUGGGGCCAUGAUGUAACGGAGAUGUCAGAGACCAAUUACAGAGGCAGAUUGCCGCAGUGCUAGGGAGGAGAAAAUUUUGGAAAAGGAGAUGAAAUGAAUAAAUAACAAAAGCAGUAACAGCAAAUUAAACUUUAGCUUGAAUUUUAUAUAGCACGUACUGGUAAAAAUAUUGUUUCAAAUAACAGUGGCUGUAUGGAACAGUGCUUCUCAAACUUUCAUAUGCACACACACCACCCGGAAAUCUUGCUAAGUGUAGAUUCUUACUCAGUAGAUCUCAGGUGGAGACAAGAGUGCAUUUCUAACCAGCUACCUGUGAUGCUGAUGUGCCUGAUCCAUGGGAAACAUUUUGACAAGCAAGGCACAGCAUAACGCACAUGUAAAUAGAAUAUUUUAUUUUGUUGAAGAUAUAAAUCCAAUUUUAGAAAAAGGUGUAUCUAAGCAGGUAGUUAUAGUUUUUCUACAUAUGGCAAAUUAGCCGG
rnacentral:lncRNA from 1 species